rnacentral:rRNA from 1 species
GGGGAAUAUUGGACAAUGGGGGAAACCCUGAUCCAGCAAUGCCGCGUGAGUGAUGAAGGCCUUCGGGUUGUAAAGCUCUUUUGUCAGGGACGAUGAUGACGGUACCUGACGAAUAAGCUCCGGCUAACUUCGUGCCAGCAGCCGCGGUAAUACGAGGGGAGCUAGCGUUGUUCGGAAUUACUGGGCGUAAAGGGCGUGUAGGCGGUACCAUAAGUCAGAUGUGAAAGCCCUAGGCUUAACCUAGGAAUUGCAUUUGAUACUGUGGAACUAGAGAUCGAGAGAGGUAAGUGGAAUUACGAGUGUAGAGGUGAAAUUCGUAGAUAUUCGUAAGAACACCAGUGGCGAAGGCGACUUACUGGCUCGAUACUGACGCUAAGGCGCGAAAGCGUGGGGAGCAAAC